GACGAACGCUGGCGGCGUGCCUAAUACAUGCAUGUAGAACGCUGAAGAGAGGAGCUUGCUCUUCUUGGAUGAGUUGCGAACGGGUGAGUAACGCGUAGGUAACCUGCCUGGUAGCGGGGGAUAACUAUUGGAAACGAUAGCUAAUACCGCAUAAAAUUGAUUAUUGCAUGAUAAUUAAUUGAAAGAUGCAACUGCAUCACUACCAGAUGGACCUGCGUUGUAUUAGCUAGUUGGUGAGGUAACGGCUCACCAAGGCGACGAUACAUAGCCGACCUGAGAGGGUGAUCGGCCACACUGGGACUGAGACACGGCCCAGACUCCUACGGGAGGCAGCAGUAGGGAAUCUUCGGCAAUGGGGGGAACCCUGACCGAGCAACGCCGCGUGAGUGAAGAAGGUUUUCGGAUCGUAAAGCUCUGUUGUAAGAGAAGAACGGGUGUGAGAGUGGAAAGUUCACACUGUGACGGUAUCUUACCAGAAAGGGACGGCUAACUACGUG
rnacentral:rRNA from 1 species